rnacentral:rRNA from 1 species
CCUACGGGUGGCAGCAGUGAGGAAUAUUGGUCAAUGGCCGUAAGGCUGAACCAGCCAAGUAGCGUGAGGGAAGACUGCCCUAUGGGUUGUAAACUUCUUUUAUGCGGGGAUAAAGGUGUUCACGUGUGGAUUUUUGCAGGUACCGCAUGAAUAAGGACCGGCUAAUUCCGUGCCAGCAGCCGCGGUAAUACGGAAGGUCCGGGCGUUAUCCGGAUUUAUUGGGUUUAAAGGGAGCGUAGGCCGGUCUUUAAGCGUGCGGUGAAAUGUUGUGGCUCAACCGUGGCAGUGCAGCGCGAACUGGGGACCUUGAGUGCGCGGAAGGCAGGCGGAAUUCGUGGUGUAGCGGUGAAAUGCUUAGAUAUCACGAAGAACCCCGAUUGCGAAGGCAGCCUGCCGCAGCGUUACUGACGCUGAAGCUCGAAGGCGCGGGUAUCGAACAGGAUUAGAUACCCGGGUAGUC